GCGCGAAUAGCUCAGUUGGCAGAGCGUCUCCCUUCCAAGGAGAAGGUCGCGGGUUCGAAUCCCGUUUCGCGCU
rnacentral:tRNA from 1 species